AAAUAAUAAUAAAAUAAAAUAAAACAAAGCAAAACAAAAACAAAAAGGAAGCUGAUAUCUCCAUCUCCCUCCUUCUCCUUCGUCUGGUUCAAAGGCUCAAGAACCAAGAAUUGCAACACCUCCAUCUCCUCCCUUCUUCUUCGUCCAAUUCACACACACAGACCAAGAUUUUGCAACUCAAAAUCUCAACCUUUGUCAGCAAAUAAUUGAAUUUAGGGGCAUAUUUUUCAAAAGCUAAACUCAUCCACCAUUGGAUUUUCUGUCCAAAUCUUCCCUAUAAAUACUGAUUUCACUCUCAUCAAAUUACUCAAGCAAAACAAUUCAAAAGACUCCGAUUUCGUAGACGAGGAAUACCAAGAGCGCUAAUACGUUCGUGAAUUUAACUUUGGGCACGCUUCACGAGGCGGGUGAUCGAUCGGGGAAACAAAGGGAGAUCAUUUAGAGUUGUCAUCCACUUAGCAUGUGAUUAGCUUCCGCUGGAACUCUGAAACACUUAAUUAAUUAGUGAUGUUAAUGAACGAUUUACUUUGGUUGUAGUGAUUAAUGAAUUUGGGUUUACUUUGUUUUCAA